CCUGUGUCUAUUGUUACCUUUAGUUGCUUCGGCGGGCCGGCCGUCUUGA
rnacentral:rRNA from 1 species